GCAGACGAAGAAAAAUGAGGAAAAGGAAGAGGAAAAGGAAGUCGUUUUGUUUGCCCUUCCUCUGCAAUGAUCACUCCUUUUUUGGCUCUCUGAUUUCUCAGGUUGACUGUUCUGUCUUGACCUAUUCUCCCUCUGAUCCCAGCCACCUUAAUCUCCUUAAUCACCAUCUGUGUUCGACUCCAUCUGGA